rnacentral:rRNA from 1 species
UACGUAGGGUGCAAGCGUUGUCCGGAAUUAUUGGGCGUAAAGAGCUCGUAGGCGGUCUGUCGCGUCGGCUGUGAAACCCCGAGGCUCAACCUCGGGCCUGCAGUCGAUACGGGCAGACUAGAGUUCGGUAGGGGAGACUGGAAUUCCUGGUGUAGCGGUGAAAUGCGCAGAUAUCAGGAGGAACACCGGUGGCGAAGGCGGGUCUCUGGGGCCAAGCUGACGCCUGAGGAGCGAAAGCGUGGGGAGCGAACAGG